UACGGAGAGUGCAAGCGUUGUUCGGAAUUAUUGGGCGUAAAGCGCGUGUAGGUGGCUCAACAAGUCUGGCGUGAAAGCCUAGGGCUCAACCCUAGAAGUGCGCUGGAAACUGUCGAGCUUGAGUACCGGAGGGGAAGGUGGAAUUCUCGAGUGUAGAGGUGAAAUUCGUAGAUAUUCGGAAGAACAUCAGUGGCGAAGGCGACCUUCUGGACGGAUACUGACACUGAGACGCGAAAGCGUGGGUAGCAAACAGG
rnacentral:rRNA from 1 species